AAAUUGAAGAGUUUGAUCAUGGCUCAGAUUGAACGCUGGCGGCAGGCCUAACACAUGCAAGUCGAACGGUAACAGGAAGCAGCUUGCUGCUGUGCUGACGAGUGGCGGACGGGUGAGUAAUGUCUGGGAAACUGCCCGAUGGAGGGGGAUAACUACUGGAAACGGUGGCUAAUACCGCAUAACGUCGCAAGACCAAAGAGGGGGACCUUCGGGCCUCUUGCCAUCAGAUGUGCCCAGAUG
rnacentral:rRNA from 1 species